CCUGGCGGCACUAGCGCGGUGGUCCCACCUGACCCCAUGCCGAACUCAGAAGUGAAACGCCGCAGCGCCGAUGGUAGUGUGGGGUCUCCCCAUGCGAGAGUAGGGAACUGCCAGGC
rnacentral:rRNA from 3 species